ACAAAACCCCAAUUUCCGUCUUCCUUUCUCACAACCCAAACGAUCCCAAACUCACCCUUUCAGAACGCCACCGACCUGAACGUCGCAGAACAACGCCGAACGUCGAACACGAACGUGAACGCCGCUCCCCUGCUCCUCUGCUCGUCGAACGUCGAACGCCACUCCCCUGCUCGCCGAACCCCAAACAGUGCUAUUACUCACUGCCGAAGUUGAUUUCGUAUCACUUGAUUCAUUUUUUGGAAGUUAGAUUCGUCGUCGAACUCUAUCGGACUGUGAUGGAGGCUAUGGAGUUGUGGUGGAAGAUGAUGUGGCUAUGGUGUGGCUAUGUUCUUAGCCUAAGUUUACAGGCUCAUCACUACUACUCAAGAAAAGAGACAUGCUAAGGCAGCUCGGAUUAGAGAAAAAUACCCAGACAAAAUUUCGAUCUUGCACCAAAAUCCGAUCGAUCUACUGUAGUGAUGAAGCUACCAAGAAAGUGAUUGAUGUUUGGUUAGUGACAAGACUUGUAAUUUCGUUAUUCACGACAAUACCUUGUUGUAUUUAGUUUCUUUGUAAAAAUAUAUUACCAAGAUUUAGUUUCUAUUUUGCUUGUAUUUGUCCCUUUAGGAAAAUUCGAUAGAUUUUGUGUACUCAGUUUCUUUGUAAAAAUGUUAUCUAUGUUAUUUUUAUAUAUGAAAGUUCUAAUAUUUGCAAAGUUUUGAAAA